rnacentral:rRNA from 1 species
AGAGUUUGAUCAUGGCUCAGAUUGAACGCUGGCGGCAGGCCUAACACAUGCAAGUCGAGCGGUAACAGAUCCAGCUUGCUGGAUGCUGACGAGCGGCGGACGGGUGAGUAAUGCAUAGGAAUCUGCCCGAUAGUGGGGGAUAACCUGGGGAAACCCAGGCUAAUACCGCAUACGUCCUACGGGAGAAAGGGGGCUCCGGCUCCCGCUAUGGGAUGAGCCUAUGUCGGAUUAGCUAGUUGGUGAGGUAACGGCUCACCAAGGCCACGAUCCGUAGCUGGUCUGAGAGGAUGAUCAGCCACAUCGGGACUGAGACACGGCCCGAACUCCUACGGGAGGCAGCAGUGGGGAAUAUUGGACAAUGGGGGAAACCCUGAUCCAGCCAUGCCGCGUGUGUGAAGAAGGCCCUCGGGUUGUAAAGCACUUUCAGCGAGGAAGAACGCCUAGCGGUUAAUACCCGCUAGGAAAGACAUCACUCGCAGAAGAAGCACCGGCUAACUCCGUGCCAGCAGCCGCGGUAAUACGGAGGGUGCAAGCGUUAAUCGGAAUUACUGGGCGUAAAGCGCGCGUAGGUGGCUUGAUAAGCCGGUUGUGAAAGCCCCGGGCUCAACCUGGGAACGGCAUCCGGAACUGUCAAGCUAGAGUGCAGGAGAGGAAGGUAGAAUUCCCGGUGUAGCGGUGAAAUGCGUAGAGAUCGGGAGGAAUACCAGUGGCGAAGGCGGCCUUCUGGACUGACACUGACACUGAGGUGCGAAAGCGUGGGUAGCAAACAGGAUUAGAUACCCUGGUAGUCCACGCCGUAAACGAUGUCGACCAGCCGUUGGGUGCCUAGCGCACUUUGUGGCGAAGUUAACGCGAUAAGUCGACCGCCUGGGGAGUACGGCCGCAAGGUUAAAACUCAAAUGAAUUGA